rnacentral:rRNA from 1 species
UACGUAGGUGGCGAGCGUUGUCCGGAUUUACUGGGCGUAAAGGGCGUGCAGGCGGUUUGUUAAGUGCAGGGUGAAAGCUCCCGGCUCAACUGGGAGAGGUCCUUGCAUACUGGCGAACUCGAGGGAGGCAGAGGAAAGUGGAAUUCCUGGUGUAGCGGUGAAAUGCGCAGAUAUCAGGAGGAACACCUAUUGCGAAGGCAGCUCGCUGGGACGUUACUGACGCUGAGGCACGAAAGCGUGGGGAGCAAACAGG